rnacentral:rRNA from 1 species
UAGGGAAUCUUCCACAAUGGACGCAAGUCUGAUGGAGCAACGCCGCGUGAGUGAAGAAGGUUUUCGGAUCGUAAAACUCUGUUGUUAGAGAAGAACACGAGUGAGAGUAACUGUUCAUUCGAUGACGGUAUCUAACCAGCAAGUCACGGCUAACUACGUGCCAG